UUAAUGAGUAAUUUUUCCAUAAUUAUUGUGAUUAUUAAUUGAUCACCCUUCUCACACUUUAUUUUAAUUUCUCUACCAUAUGAUUAAUUCCCACAUUUUGCCAAGUGUGGAGAUUGAGAGAGUAGAGAUUUAGAGAGUAGAGAUUAGAGAGAGUGUAGAGAUUAGAGAGAGAGAGAUCAAGGCAUUAAUGCCAAAUAUUCUAUAAGAUUCACAAAUAUUUCCAAAGAUUAGCCAAAUCCAAGCAUAUCUUGCAAAAUCCUCUCUCACUCCUCACUCCCUAAUUUUCGACCACCUCUCUCUCCUUCAUCUCUCUACUUUCCACCAUUGUCAACCAUGGAUGAGACCUCCGAAGCUUCACCAAAAUAUGCCAAACACAUAAAUCACCAACAAAAUCCCACCUAAACACCUCCUAUCAACUUGAAUCCAAGGAAAUCCUUGAAGGUUGGCUUCAAGACUAGUGAGAGAAAGUUUGAUAUUUGGUGUAAACUUGGACACAAGCAGAGCAAGGAAGUAAGUAACUCCGCUUUGACGGGAGAUUUUGAGUAAGGUCUUCAGGCUAAGCGAGGAGUGAGAUUGGUCUGGUGCUGAUGGGGGAUCGUUAGUUGAUGUAUUUACUUUAUCGUAUUUCUUUUUUUUAUCGAUAAAGUCUCGAUGUGAAGUUACUUUGAAUAUGAAUCAAGUAAUAUACUCACGGUUAUGUGUCUUCAUACAUAUGAUCGGUUCGCCUUUUGCUGCGAUACUCUGCAUAUUAU